UGCAGAAUGUUGAAAGAUUCAACCUUUGUG
rnacentral:piRNA from 1 species